GACGAACCGUGCAAACGUUGUUCGGAAUCACUGGGCUUAAAGGGCGCGUAGGCGGUUCGCCAAGUCGGGGGUGAAAUCUUUCGGCUUAACCGGAAAAGGGCUUUCGAUACUGGCGAGCUAGAGGGAGGUAGGGGCAGCGGGAACUUCCAGUGGAGCGGUGAAAUGCGUUGAUAUUGGAAGGAACGCCGGUGGCGAAAGCGCGCUGCUGGACCUCUUCUGACGCUGAGGCGCGAAAGCUAGGGGAGCAAACGGG
rnacentral:rRNA from 1 species